GACAGAGGAUGCAAGCGUUAUCCGGAAUUAUUGGGCGUAAAGAGCUCGUAGGCGGUUUGUCGCGUCUGCUGUGAAAACUGGAGGCUCAACCUCCAGCCUGCAGUGGGUACGGGCAGACUAGAGUGCGGUAGGGGAGAUUGGAAUUCCUGGUGUAGCGGUGGAAUGCGCAGAUAUCAGGAGGAACACCAAUGGCGAAGGCAGAUCUCUGGGCCGUAACUGACGCUGAGGAGCGAAAGCAUGGGGAGCGAACAGG
rnacentral:rRNA from 1 species